UUAGUAAUGCUGGCAUCAUUCUUGAUAUCGCCUGGAGAUAGAAUUAACCUGGCAUCGAAAUCGAAAAUGGUAUCUUUGCUAUUUCUUGCAAUGUAUUUGGUAAUGUUGAUGAAUUCAAUUCCUCAUUUCACCGGAACACAGUCUAAUUUCUUGAUCGGAUUUGUCGUGUUGUUAACAAUAGUGGGAAUAUCCAGCUGCAUCUCAGCACAUAAAUCGAUUAGCAAGAAAAUCACGCUUAUAUCAUCCAUCCUUGAUCAUGGAAGGUACAAAUUUGGAAGAAAACAUGCGUGAAAAUCCAGAAGACAUAACACUAACCGAUGACCAGUACACUUCUCCAGAAUCACUGAUGAAAAAAUCCCAAAAUGAAUGGUUGAAAAUACACGCAAUAAUUGAAUAUUUGUCAUUUGCUGCUUGUUUGAUGGUUGUUGUAACUCUUACCAUCAGUUUAAUGGCAUGAAAGCUGACCUUCGUCCGAAUAUCUUCUUUGCGAGACUCAAUUGUAACCAUGCACCUGGUCUCGUACAAUAUUCAUUAUAAUCCAUUCAAGUACACAAUUACUUGUGAAAAAUUCGAACUCAUAUGAUGCAUGUCUCAUUCAAAAGAUUACCAUUAGUAAAUAUCGAUUGCUAAUCGUAUUUUUUUUCACAAAGCUUCUUUUUCCAGCAGUUUUUAAGCACAAGCAAUCCCAUCCAGCUACCUAUGUACAUUGUACUUACAGUAUCUUCAUUUUUACCAAUUGAAAAAAUACAU